UAAAUACAAGUAAAUAAAUGAACAUGGUAUUUUAAUUUACACAAAUGUUUUCUUCCGGGUCUUCAUAAUAUCACUAAACUUCCCAAUUAAAUCUAAAAAAUCACCAGUUUAUUUAAUCCUUUUCCUCAGACAGGCAGAUAAGUGAAUUAAAUUUGUCUUGGUGAAGAGAAGUCCUUCUGACGUUUUCAAUUAAUUCUUAUUUUGAAUUUGUUAUUUACUUGUUAUUCCUUCCUAUCAGAGAAAGAUAAAAUCUUUGUUAAUAAAUCGUUUGUUUUUUAUUUUCAAAAUAAUCAAAUAUGUCUCAUAUGGGAUUGAUAUAGGUUUU